GAGACAUCAAAAGAAGAAGAAGAGAGAAGCAAGGAGAAGAAGAAAGAAGAGAAAGAAGAAAGAAGAGAAAGAAGACUUCAGUGACCCCCUGCCAGAGAUAACAUCUUCCCAUUUGGGAUCCUCUGGACAAAGGGGCGUCGGAGAUGGGCCUGCGUGCCAUCAUGGACCUUUACAUAAAAGGCAAUCAGAAGGGCUUAGAGAGGAUCUACACGGAGGAGGAGGGGAUCUGUGAGAUCAUGGAGUUUGAGGGACCACUGGCGGGCCCUUUAUUUGAAGUG